AUGGGUUGUGUUUGUCAUCCCCCUUUUUUUUUGUCGUGGUAAUGGAGCACCGUAAUGUUCAGGUAGUGUCGGCACAAUGAGCUCUCACCAAAGACCUGGAACUCCCAAGGGCUGUUAUUUGUCCAAGACUGAGUGGCUAAAGUCCUUUGGUGGUAUUAGGUUGCACGCAUGUAGUACUCAAACGGGUGGCGCACCUGAUGUGGUGAAUUCACAGGACUACAGUGAAUUCUUUCAAGUUCUGCUCCCUUGA
ensembl:lncRNA